GCUCGAUCGACCUUGAGAAGAUCCCCAUCAAUGCGGACUCCCCUAUGACCAAACCAACGAUCAAUGUGUGGUGAGAAUGACAGCAGUAUGCACCACAUUUGCAGUCUUAACUACAUGGUUAGUAAAACUUUUUAUUCAGCUCAAAGAGGUCCUGCAGUACAU